AAAAGAAAAAGAAAUUUCACAGAAAGUAGGA
rnacentral:piRNA from 1 species